AUUCCCGGAACACAUCCCAGAUCCUAUGGUAGCAUGGGGAAGUAGAAGCUUUCCUUGAUUGCAAAAGGGUAUUGACCACUGCUUCUGAGAGACCUUGUAGUUGAAGUCUUUCUUUUUCAAGACCUAUACCCCCAAUUUGAGGCGUUCCGGAUGAGGAUGGAAUAUUGGGCCAUGCGUUAGCAGAUCUUCCAUAACAGGAAGAGGCCAAGGCUGUUCUUGGCUCAUCAUAGCCAACAGGGGGAACCACGGCCUCCGAAGCCAAAUCGGAAUUAUGGCUAUAAC